rnacentral:rRNA from 1 species
CAGCUUGCUUGGUGGAUCAGUGGCGAACGGGUGAGUAACACGUGAGCAACCUGCCCUGGACUCUGGGAUAAGCGCUGGAAACGGCGUCUAAUACUGGAUAUGAGCCUCUUCCGCAUGGUGGGGGUUGGAAAGAUUUUUUGGUCUGGGAUGGGCUCGCGGCCUAUCAGCUUGUUGGUGAGGUAAUGGCUCACCAAGGCGUCGACGGGUAGCCGGCCUGAGAGGGUGACCGGCCACACUGGGACUGAGACACGGCCCAGACUCCUACGGGAGGCAGCAGUGGGGAAUAUUGCACAAUGGGCGAAAGCCUGAUGCAGCAACGCCGCGUGAGGGAUGACGGCCUUCGGGUUGUAAACCUCUUUUAGCAGGGAAGAAGCGAAAGUGACGGUACCUGCAGAAAAAGCGCCGGCUAAC